rnacentral:rRNA from 1 species
UACGUAGGGGGCCAGCGUUGCUCGGAAUUACUGGGCGUAAAGGGUUCGUAGGCGGUGCGGCAAGUCGGGAGUGAAAUCUCUGGGCUUAACUCAGAGGCUGCUUUCGAAACUGCCGUGCUCGAGUGCGGGAGAGGCCAGUGGAACUGCAGGUGUAGCGGUGAAAUGCGUAGAUAUCUGCAAGAACACCCGUGGCGAAGGCGGCUGGCUGGACCGCAACUGACGCUGAGGAACGAAAGCUAGGGGAGCAAACAGG